GAAAACAAUUAUGUACACUGAAUAACCUCAUACCUUCACAAGGCCUUUAGAGAAAACUUGCUGUUUGCUUGGCGGACAAGCCCUGUGAAGUCUGUUGCCAUUGAAUUUAGCUUGUCACUGUAUUGAUUGAGCUGAUAUCAGGUGUUUCCUUUGCUUCUGUUAAUUCCACGUUCAGUUGCUGUACGCUUCAAAUUCUUCAGCUCCUGAGGGUACUAGAAGAGGCACCCAGCCUUUAAGCAGACUGUUUUAGUAGUGCUGCUGUUUGACACUGUUGGUGGUGAACACUGAAAUGACAGCGUCCAAUCUGUCCGCAAAGCAGCCAUAGUCCGUAGGACAGAGCAUCAACACAGCAGCGAUGAGGAAGUUUCCAAAGAAGCUGAGGUGAUCUAAAGCUCAAUGAAAAAACAUUAGUCAUACAUGAAAUGUUUCCUACCUGGCAACUUCAGAAUCAACAGGUUGGAAAUCUAGAAAGCAAGAGCAUGAAGCAAAUGAGCCACUUGUGUUUGUUUCCAAGUAGGGACCUCUUUAUAUCAUUAAUUUAGUCUCAAGCUUCCCAGCAGCCAAUCUCUAGCCAUUUAAUACAGAAGAGUUCAAUGGACAUUUACUCUUUGUGCACAUAUUCACUCUUGCAGUUCUGAGGAAAAUUCACUUGAGGUUCUCCAAGAGAAGACACUGUACCUGGCAGGAUUUCAGAGGACAGCUUGAGCUCCCAGCCUCUCUAGGGAUCACCAACAUACAAAUCAGGUGGCACUGCCUACUGAUGUGCUGCAGCACAGAGAUGUCCUGCUUGGAGGCUUCUUCGGGAUCUCUGCAAGCUAUGGAAAUGAUGCCUUAA
rnacentral:lncRNA from 1 species